CGUAUCAUUGCAAAUAUUUAGAAGCUUCGCUCUACUCAAGUAAAACUUAACGUUAUCGUAGCUUUCACAGUUAUAUUUGUUUUUAGGCGACUGGUAAAAGAAACUACGAGCAUACAAUUGUGCAAUUGCCGAGAUCACAUUUUUUGGUACCACAGCGGCAGUUUUGCCAAGAAAGUCCAGUUAGCAGAUUGCUUAUUAUGACUCCAAAACUUUAUUAAUUUCAACGGGAUUCAUCCCACACCUGAAGGGUUAAUCAACUCAGUUGUUGAAUGGUGCUUGAAAGUGAAACUACAAGAGAUUAAAGAAGGCAACAUGAAUCUCAUUAUACGCCUGUUCUAUAUAAGGUCUCUUCAUUGCAACAACGAGAAUUUGAGAUGUGGAAGUAUGGUGAUUGAGUGACUGAGUCCAUAACAG